UGGGUUUACAAGUGACAGGAAAUAGGUAAAAUCCUGUUAGUUUCACUUAACUCCUAUUGAUUUCAGUGGAGCUUAGGUUAGUCAUCAAGUUGGCACCUUGAGCUCCUCAUUUUCUUAUUUGCCCCAUCUCUAACAGACAGCAGUGGAACGUCUCCUUUUUUAAAAAAACACAACUGUCUUUGACCUGAAUGUGUAUGGAAUUUGUGAAACUGCAAAGAAGAAAUAAUGAUGGAUGAUGACUGAUCAGCAACCUUCCACGACAUGCUGACUUUAUAUCUGUAUAUGAGGGAAAUGAAGUUUCGUAGAUGUUUAAUCUAGGCUUGCCAGAUAUGUCUUACUUGAGGAAAAUAUCUCUAAUUCCUAAACACUGCAUUUAAUACAUUUCCCUCAUUCCAAAGCACAGCACUGUUGUAGUCCUGUAUGGAAAAGGAACCCAGGGAAGCCAAAUGGCAUUUAUCAUUAAAGCCUGAUCUAGCCACUGAAGAAUGUCUUGGCUACAACCAUCUCCGUUCCGCUAGGAGAAGAAAGGGGGCGGCGGCACCAAAAACCAAGAGAGAAGCAGAGGGAGAGAUGGCAAUUCAAAAUGGUGGUAAGAACUUUUUGUGUUUUGAUAAAUCCUGAACAUAAAAUCAAUUAAAGGUAAAGGGUAAAGGGACCCCUGACCAUUAGGUCCAGUCGUGACCGACUCUGGGGUUGUGGCGCUCAUCUUGCUUUAUUGGCCGAGGGAGCCAGCGUACAGCUUCCGGGUCAUGUGGCCAGCAUGACUAAGCCACUUGUGGCGAACCAGAGCAGCGCACAGAAACGCCGUUUACCUUCCUGCUGGAGCGGUACCUAUUUAUCUACUUGCACUUUGACGUACUUUUGAACUGCUAGGUUGGCAGGAGCAGGGACCAAGCAACGGGAGCUCACCCUGUCGCGGGGAUUCGAACCACCAACCUUCUGAUCGGCAAGUCCUAGGCUCUGUGGUUUAACCCACAGCGCCACCCUCGUCCCUUAAAAUCAAUUAGUCAAUAACAAUAAUUGACAUAAGUAUGUUGAAUAAUCAUAUAAUAAGGAGAGGAUGAAAACAAAAAUGAAUAGUCCCAUUCCCCCCCAAAAAAAUCACCAAAAGCAAAAAAAUAGAUAUACAGUAAUUUUCAGGGUCAAUCUUUAUGAAAUGCUAAAAUGUCCAACCCUGUUUCAGUUAAAAACAACCUUCUUUGGGUGCACUGGAAGAAAAAAAUAACUAAGUAAACCAAAGUGCAGGCAUUAAUUUAUAGAACAAUCAAUAUUAUUAUUAUUAUUAUUAUUAUUAUUAUUAUUAUUAUUACCUGCCCAUCUGACUGGGUUACCCCAACCACUUUUAUACACUCUUAUACAUGGGGACAUGGGGCUUAUGUUAAAACUUGGUUGGCACUCAUGUAUCUUGGGAGACAAUGCAGGAGUGUACCUUUGGGAUGAAGUCAAACCAUUGAAGAGUUACAGCUCUGACUGUAGAGUUUGAUACAGGAGACACAUGCUUUGUUUCAGCUGAGGCAGAUGAAGGCACCCAGUUGUACUGUUGCAGGUGCACCAGGGUGUUUCUUCUCUCUGUGCUCCUCCCAGUGUUCAUUACUCCUGUGGUCACUUCUAUGGAUGCAUGACCUACCUGUCUGUCUCCAGGCACUGCAGUCACCUGCAAGGUGGAGUUAAUGUUGCCAGCUUUCAUGUCAUGUUUGCGAGUUAAAACUGAAACUAAAUCAUAAUGCAAGUGAGUAUCACAGAAAUAUCCAACCACAAAUCCAUGUACAUUCCAUGGACCACCUGAAUGAAGCUCAUGGGCCACUGGUAGUCCAUAGGUCACAGUCUGGGAACCUCAGGAGUUGACAGUAGUGAGGAAGAUGGAUCAAUGGUCCGACUCAGAACGUCAGGCUUCUGGGAAUCAGCUUCCUCCCCCCAUGGCAGUAGAUAAGCCGAACAAAGGAAAAGGAGUCUUCUUACCAGUUAGAAACUUUAAUAAUCACAGUGAGAGAACAAAGAACACACCUCCUGGAAAUGGCGGUGCUCCCAAUUAAGUUCCCUCCCCCCUUCAUCCCUAUUAAACUUCGCCACUCCUAUGUCUUGUAAUCUGAGCUUGGAGCCGCUGUGUUUUCUGUUCUGCCACUUUCUGAGCUCUCCGGGACUUUAGGAAAGGGGGGUGGACACUCCCCAGAGACUGUGAAUCUGUUAGCUCUCUCUCUCUUCUAGUGUUCCUUCUGCUAGCUGAUCCCGAUCAAAUAUUUCCCAGCUUCUGCCUUCUGAACUAUGCCCCUUUGCAAACCACUGUUCCAAAUCUUUACUGUCCUCCAGCUCCUGGGAAGAUUCAGGAUCAGGACGAGGGGGUGGCUCCCACCAUCCCUGCUCAGUACUGCCCUCCUCAGCACAGUCCCUGACACAGUAUAAGGCAACUUCCUAUGUUAGUAUUAAUAUAUGAUAAAUUAUUAAUAAUGAUAACUAAUCAUAUAGACUUAAACCAACUUAUUUAAAACAUUAUUGUGAUAUAAAUCCCCAUAUUUGAUCAUUAUUUGAUUCUUAGCAACAUUUUGAUGUUUCUCCUCCUUUACUACAAUUCUGCUGUGCUAGAAACAUCCAGGUUUGGUGUGGAGACACUCUGAACAUUAUAGCCAUGAUCUCUGUGGUAAGUUGUUUGUGACAGCAUCUUUUUGAAAGUGUAACAUGUAGGCCGGCCCUGCACAAGAGGAAAGGAGAAGCCUGAGUGAAUGAUCCUUCAUUUGGGCACUAGUGCCGAGCAUUUUGUGGUUGUGACACUGCUUAAAAGUGGAGCCAGUGUAGUGAAUUAAAAUCUCACAUAGGUUUCUUUAGACCAGGUAUGAGCAUGUUUCAGGCUUGUGUUUUUGCUACAACUCCAAGGUCUGCCAGGUCAAAAGUGACAUCUAUGGGCUGGAGCCAUUAUGUACUGAAUCCCAUAAGUCAAAAUAUAGCCACAUUCACAAAGGUCUUAAACUGGCUACCAGAACCGCACAUAGACCUGCUCAAAAUCAACCAAAUAAUAUUCAUAUUUUACUGUAGAGAAACACAAAGGCUGAUAAGCUAUUAGCAAAAAAAAAGCCAGACCUGACACAGCAGUAUUUUAUUUUCCUUCUGAUUAUACAAGCUAUUGUUGAAUUACUGAGAGUCAUGAACCCUUGCUGCAAAUCCUUCAGCAAUCUACCAUAUGCCCAUUCCUGCCUUAGAUUAGGAACACAGGAGGCUGCACUAUCCUGAGUCAGACUAUUGGUUCAGUAUCGUCUACACUGACUGCUAGCAGCUCUCCAGAGUUUCAGGCAGGGAACUUUUCCAAACCAACCUGGAGAUGCCAGAGUUUGAACCCAGCACCUUUUGCAUUCAAAGCAAAUGCUCCAUCACUGAAUUACAGCCCUUGCCCAUAAACUGACAAGUGGUGUGUGAUCUCUCUCAUAGGGUUGCUGUGAAGAUAAAACAAGCCACCUUGAGCUUCACUGAGGAAGAGCAUAGCAUAUGUAGAAAAUAAGUAAGCUGGAACACACAUGCAUUUCCUCUUCCUCGCUGUCCUCAGCCUGACAUUUAGCCCCACCAUCAUUCUGAAAUGUGCUUCAGAUUGAUUUCCCCCAACCCCACCCCCAAAAAAUUCAUUUACAGAUUCAUCUCCUUUGCCACCUGUUGUUCCAGUAACUAAUAUUUUAAUAGAAGCUGGUAUUGAUUUAUAGUCUUUGGUUUCCCUUCCACGCUUUGUUCUAUGGAACAGCAAUGACUUCACUUAGCUAGUAUGAUGACAAUAAUAAUAAUAAAAAUCUUCGCAGAUAAUUAAAUGCACAAACUCCCUAAGGCAAUGCUUCCUUCUGGCCUGAACCACUUAAACUUUAAAAGGAGCUGGAAAGUGUUAAAGCCUCUAUCAUUUCAAUACUGGAACAUGAAAUUUGUGACCAGAUGCAUUAGAUACCAUUCCUUUAAUAGGAAAAAAAUGCUUUCAUUUUAACAAUCAGUGACUUUUUUCUUUUCUUUUUUUUUAAUAAUUGUGCAUAUUAUGCAAGUCCUUUAAUAUAAUUGUGUCGAUUGAAUAAGAGAUCUGAUUUAAGACACUCUAUUAAAUUACUGGCAGUGGUGGCCAGAGGCUAGGAGUGUUCUUCUUUCAUUCCAUUCAUAUUGCAGAUCACGGAUCCAGUUCCAAGAGUAGUAAAAGGAUACAUGUUACAGAAUACACCUCCACCUUUUGCUGGUUCUCUUAAACUUUUUUAAAAAAAAUUUCUGUAAGCUUAAUAAGGAAGAAUUAAUAAGAUGCAUUCCUUCCAGGUAUGUUAAUGACAUCAGUCUUUCAUAUUUCUGCCGUAUGACAGAGAGAUAAAGGCUGUAAUUCUAUGCAUACACACCUGGGAGUAAGACCAGUGAGACUUACUUCUGACUAGACACAAUAGGACUGUGCUGAGUUUGAUCCAGGCUUAGUCAUCCUUAAUAUAGACCCAUUGCAACCAUUGUGAAUUAACGGGACUAACCUAAUCUGGCUUGCUCUGAGCAUGACUAAAUCUGGAUCAAACCCAACAGAUUUAAUGUGCAUUUAAAAGGAGCAAAAUUCUAUUUUCAGUUGCGGACUUCACUCUGCUCCAACAGCAGAACACAUCUUACACUGGGGUACAGUCAAUAUGUAUACAGUGGGUGAGAUUCACCUAAUGAGCUCCAUCAGCAGAAGCCCUGCACAAGGACUUCCGGUUGUGCAAUGGGGUUUCCUUCCUUUCCACCCCUGUGUGCCCUCUGAGUCCCCCAAAAUUGGCUCGGCAUGGAGGGGUUAGAAGAACGUCAAAAACAUAACAAGGUUGGUCUUGCUUCAGUUCCAGGGAAACUGAAGCCCAACCUCUGGGAUUCAGCUUCAGUUAGUUGGCUCAGAUUAUCCAAGAGAUGGUGCUACAAAGCUGAAAGCACGUGCUCAAGCCACAGCAUGCAUUACUGCAACAGUGUGUGGAUCCAUAAGCAAACCUUCAUUCAUAGAUCUAAGUGACUGGGGUGGGAUAGAGAGAAGUGGCUUCUCGGAGACCCUGGUCCAGAAGCAUAUGAGGAUUCACACCCAAGUGUUAGAAACUUGAAUCUAACCCAGUAGAAAAAUUGGUAGCCAGUGCAGUGCUUUCAACAGAGGUGCCACAUGCAGAAGCAUUCUGCACUAGCUGCAGCUUCUGGACCAAAUUCAAGGGCAACUGCGUGUUAAGUGCAGCUAUUCCUGUCCAACAAUGGCCGUUGCUGGUGACAAAGAUGGUCAAAGGCACCCCUGAGCCUCCAGUGAUAAUGCUAGAUCAAGAAACAGCCCUAAGCUCCCCACCUGUUCUUUCUGAAGGUGUGUAACCCCAUCCCAGCAGGCAACCCAAAACAACUCACCCACAGAGCCUCCAACCUCUGGGAUUCAGCUGCAGUUUGUUAGCUCACAUUACCUCCUGAUUCAGAUGCUCCAGAGAAAUGGAGCUGUCCUUGUGCUCCAAAUCUAGUGAGUGGUCACAACAAUCUCAUGUAGGUGUUGAACUAAACACCUAUGGUAGCAAUUGAGAUUAAUUUGAAGCAUGAUUUAUAGUCUCAUGUUGACCACAUAAUUUUUAGUUAAUCAUAGUGCAAUCAAUGCCCCAUUUUAACUGUUCUAUCUACGUUGAAUAUGUAUUUACUGAGAAAUGGUAUUUACUGUGGGACACGGGUGGCGCUGUGGUCUAAACCAUUGAACCUCUUGGGCUUGCCAAUCAGAAGGUUGGCGGUUUGAAUCCCUGCGACGGGGUGAGCGCCCAUUGCUCUGUCCCAGCUCCUGCCAACCUAGCAGUUCGAAAGCACACCAGUGUGAGUAGAUAAAUAGGUACUGCUGUGGUGGGAAAGUCAAUGGCAUUUCUGUGUGCUCUGGUUUUCGUUACGGUGUUCUGUUGCACCAGAAGCAGUUUAGUCAUGCUGACCACAUGACCUGGAAAGCUGUCUGUGGACAAACGCCGGCUCCCUCAGCCUGAAAGCAAGAAGAGCACCGCAACCCCAUAGUCACCUUUGAUUGCACUUAACUGUCCGGGGGUCCUUUACCUUUUUACCUUACUGAGAAAUAUUUUGUUUACAAGUAUUUCCCUUGUACAGGCAGAGAAUUUGUCUCAAAGUCAAGACCAGAAAUGUCCAGGGGGCGGGGGGAUGGUGUUAAGAAGCAAAGCAAAGGAGAUGUGGGAAGUGAAAGCAAGGACAAACAUUAAGGGCAAGUGUUAAGAAAGAAACCCAGUUGCCACAGAGAACAUUUGCAAUUCUAAGCACGGGCCCUUGGGCCCUUGUUGAUGUUCUGUAAUGAGUGAGUAAGAAUGACGCAGGCAGCUAAAAGUGGAGGACGGGGUUCUUCGCUCUAUUAGAAAGGCCAAAUGCUGCCUUCAUUUCAGGUUGCUCAACUUCAUUACAUUCAGAGCAGGUUGCACAUGUAUGUGAUGGCAGACUUUGGCCUCCAUCCAGGAGACAUUGAUUACACGGUCACCAGAGCUAAUCACAAUCAAUGGUGCCAAGAAAUUAGGUCAUCCUAGUCCAAAACCCAGUAGUAUGUGUACUGCAGUAUGAUAACAGGGACACCAGCAAAAUGAAUCUGAAAAAGGCAAACAUUAGCCCAGUGCUUUGAACUCAGGAGGCAGGUGGCAAGACACACAAAGGAAGGAGUCUGUGACCAGGACUCUACAAUUCCAUCCCCUUCAGAUUCAAUAGGACUUACUUCUACAUAGACAUGGAUAGGUUUGUGUUCACAGCUCCUGCGCAAGAGUUAACCUUGGCUUCUGCUUAUCCAGAAAAACAGCAGCUUCAGUUGUUGCAGAAGAAGAAAUGAACUUCUUGAAGCUAUUUAAACUCAUUUCACUUAUGGAGCCUUGCUUUUCAUGUUUGGUUAAAGCCUGCCAUAUGAAGGAAUUCGCUGGACAUCCCAUGGUGGUCUGGGGCUAUGGGUGUCCUAUGCCAUUGGAAAACUGCCUGAACAUUGCCUCCUAAAAUUGACUCUUGUUUACAUUUGCCAAAAUGUUUUCAUUAUGUCUCCUAGUGUAGCCACUGUUUCAAGAGGUGUGAAUCCAUGUUUAUGGCCAGCUGUGUACCUGAGGGAGCAGUUUUGAAAAAGAUCUCUACAGUAGCAACCUCCCCAAACCUUGCUUCCACAAUUCCACAAAGGGCAAUCUAAGGGACUGUGCCAGAAACCAUGCCUGAACUGGGGGACUCUGGGAACUCUGGCCAUCAGUCAAGACAUUGGUGAGCCUUCACAACAAUCAGGCAUAAUGGAAGAUAUAUUGGGUAAAAACUAGUCCAGUUGACAUUAGUGUGGGAGGUUUCUCAUCUUGGUUUUUAUCAGGCUUUUGACCGAAAUCCUGUGCUUCCUUUUUCAUUAAACUUAUAAACAAUCUUCCCUAGUAAAGGGGUUAAUUUUAAGCUCAUUCAUCUUACACAGACGUGAAAUAUUUUCUCCAGCACAUAAAUUACAAAUUUUAAUAAACCAGGACUUUGAUUGCUCUAUGUGGUUUGACCUGCAUUGUAAUCUAGGAGAGAUGACUUGACACGGUUCCAAAAGUCAGUUUCUGUUUUGCAUGUUAGAAGAUCUAAAAAUUUGGGCAUGUACAGGUUUUCAUGGCCUAUGAGCAAACAAUAUUGUUGCUCAAAAGUUAUUUGACCGGCUCAUGAAAAUAAUUGCUUUUGCCGGAAAGUGAUCAUUAUUUGCUUAGAAAAAAGUUCAAUUCAUUGUUAACAUGGAUUAUCUUUAAUUUAUGUUCAUAUACCCUACAAUCAUUUCCCCACUCAAAUUAAACUGGGUUUGUAAUUGGAAACAAGGCUUCAAUUUCACCCUACAGCCAUGAUCACCGAAUUUCUUUCAACUGAGAAUGCACGAUCCAAAAUCUGGAAAUGUUUCAAGGUCAAGUUCAGUUCCUUGGUGUUCCAAGUUACUAAAUCCAAGCUUCUGUGUAAUGCAAAAGCUUUGUGUAUAUUUUCUGCAAAUUCAAAAGAAUUUAGCAGAGAUUGUAUGGUUGUGAUAUAUACGAAUACAUGAAUCAGUGAUCAUGUUUUAUUUUUUUAUUAUAUUUAUACCCCACAUUUCCCCCCAAGACCUCACAACAACCCUAUGAGGUAAAAUAGGCUGAAUAGUCCCAGGUCACCUGGUAAGAUUAUUGAGUGAGCAGGAAUUUGAACCUGGGUCUCCCUGGUGCCCUUGUCCAACACUCUAACCACUACACCACACUGGCUAACCAUUUUAUUUAAUAGCAUAUUUAUUUAGUAUUAUUUUAUAAUCUGCUACAUUCCUAUCCCGUCUCAAGAAGGUGCAUGUGGUUUUCCUUGCUUCCAUUUUAUCCUCACGACAACGCUGCAGCUAGGCUGGGAUAACAACUGGCCCAAGGUCACCCAAUGAGCUUCAUGAUUCAGUGGGGAUUUGACCCUGGGCCUCCAUAGUCCUAGUCUGAUGCCUUAAUCACUACACCACACUGGCAUAUGAUAUUCAAGCAUACUGACC